rnacentral:lncRNA from 1 species
CAUAUCCCCUGCGCACUGUCCGGAGCACUCCUUCCCUUCCCUGGUUCCUCAAGGCACGGCUCCCCCAGGCAGAUGAAAGCUUAAUAGAGUUUUGCGACAUGAAAGUCAGUCGGAGGAAAGAGCCUUGAACAGUUGUGCGUGAGAGAGAGGCAAGCGCCCGAAAUUAUUUUACGACAAAGGCAGCUCUCUCUGCCACAGAGGCACAGAGGAGAAAGGAGCCCAGGAAACGGGUCAUUUCUUUCGUGGAAAAAUGGAAAUGCUCUGAAGCAUUUUGGGAGACGUGCUGUGAAGCAGGUGACACCAGAAGACAAGGACACUGGGGGCUCCCUGCCGGGAGGCGCAAAAAGCAACUCCCGUUCGAGGGUCAGAGGAGCCUGGAUGCUAAUGUCUCUCCAAAGUGACUUGGAGCCAACUGCCGGAAAGGCCAUGCCCUUAGGAGCACAGGCAGGUCCCAGCUCAGUCUUUCAUCUUGGGAGACACGCGGUUCGCAAUGUACGGGGAGCCCAUUGCUUGGAGCCCAAGCUGGCAGGAUGUCAAACCUGAAGUACUAGGCGUCUUGGAGCUUCUGCCUGGAGUACGAAAUCCGAGGAAACUGAAGUGUGGAAAACGGGGCAGUAGCAAUGUGAAUGAGGAUGAUUGAGGGGUGCUGGGGACUCCCUGUUUCUUAACCUUGGAGGGCUCUCAGAGGCAUGCUUCUCCAUCGUCGACCCAGGGCACCAUGGAGCUAUCUUGCCCUUUCUUUUCCUGACAUCCAAUGAUUCCCCACCUAAUAGUGCAUGGAGCUCUUGGGAAAGAGUGUAUAGAUUCUAUAUGGUGUGCAUGGAGCAGCUGGCCCUGAGGAAGGAAGGGAUUUCAUUAUUGCAAGGCUCAGGGGCAAGUGUGGACUAGCAGGGUCCCAAACUCUACAGGCCUUGACAGUCCAACAUUGUCACACUCAACACUCGCCCAUUUGCUUUAAAAAGCACCCUAGACCUGCACUCUCUGAUAUAGCAGCCAUGAGCCACAUGGGUACUGAACACUUGAAAUGCAGUUUGACCAAAUCGAAAGGUGCUGUGAGUGCAAGCAGCAUACGGGACUUCAGAGACUUAGUACAAAAGGAGAAUGUAAACGAUCUCGUGAAGAUUUCUACAUCGAUUACACAUUGAGAUGAUAAUAUUUUGAAUACAUUGGGUUAAAUAAAAUAUAUUGUUAAAAUUAAUUUCACCUGGUUAAGAGCCAGGUGAAAUUUACUUUUCAAAACAUGUUGCUAGAAAUUGUGAAAUUACUUAUGUGGCUCACUUUACAUUUUUUUUUUUUUUUUUUUGCCCAGGCUGAAUGGAGUGCAGUGGCGUGAUCUCGGCUCACUGCAACCUCCGCCUCCAAGGUUCAAGCGAUUCUUCUGCCUCAGCCUCCUGAGUCGCUGGGA